UACGUAGGGGGCAAGCGUUGUCCGGAAUCAUUGGGCGUAAAGCGCGUGUAGGCGGUUCGAUAAGUCUGCUGUGAAAGUCCAGGGCUCAACCCUGGACCUGCAUUCGAUACGGGCAGACUAGAGUUCGGCAGGGGAGACUGGAAUUCCUGGUGUAGCGGUGAAAUGCGCAGAUAUCAGGAGGAACACCGGUGGCGAAGGCGGGUCUCUGGGCCGGCAUUGACGCUGAGGCGCGAAAGCCAGGGGAGCAAACGGG
rnacentral:rRNA from 1 species